rnacentral:rRNA from 1 species
AUUGAACGCUGGCGGCAGGCUUAACACAUGCAAGUCGAGCGGAGAGAGGUAGCUUGCUACUGAUCUUAGCGGCGGACGGGUGAGUAAUGCUUAGGAAUCUGCCUAUUAGUGGGGGACAACAUUUCGAAAGGAAUGCUAAUACCGCAUACGUCCUACGGGAGAAAGCAGGGGAUCUUCGGACCUUGCGCUAAUAGAUGAGCCUAAGUCGGAUUAGCUAGUUGGUGGGGUAAAGGCCUACCAAGGCGACGAUCUGUAGCGGGUCUGAGAGGAUGAUCCGCCACACUGGGACUGAGACACGGCCCAGACUCCUACGGGAGGCAGCAGUGGGGAAUAUUGGACAAUGGGCGGAAGCCUGAUCCAGCCAUGCCGCGUGUGUGAAGAAGGCCUUAUGGUUGUAAAGCACUUUCCGCGAGGAGGAGGCUACUUUCGUUCCUACCUAGAGAUAGUGGACGUUACUCGCAGAAUAAGCACCGGCUAACUCUGUGCCAGCAGCCGCGGUAACAC